rnacentral:rRNA from 1 species
UACGUAGGGGGCAAGCGUUAUCCGGAUUUACUGGGUGUAAAGGGAGCGUAGACGGUAGAGCAAGUCAGAUGUGGAAGCCCCGGGCUCAGCCCGGGGAGCGCAUUUGAAACUGUUAAACUAGAGUGCUGGAGGGGUGGGCGGAAUUCCCGGUGUAGCGGUGAAAUGCGUAGAUAUCGGGAAGAACACCGGCGGCGAAGGCGGCCCACUGGACAGCAACUGACGUUGAGGCUCGAGAGCGUGGGGAGCAAAC